AGUUUAAUGUUAUAAAAGGAUCCAGUUGUUGGUAUAACUUAAGGAUCCAGCUGUUCAUACAAUCCCUCUUAUAUAGUUGGGGUUCAGAAUUUGCGGUUGCUUCACGGACAAAAAAAGAAACGCGAACUUGACGAAUCGGAAAAAAGAAAAAGCGGUGCGAACUUGACGAGUCGUAAAAGAAGAAGAGGUGCGAACUCCACGAAUCAGUAAAAGAAAAGGAUUGGAGCCUCUUGAUUGAACUUCGAUUAUUCUGAAUUCGUUCUAGUUUGAUCUCUGAUUGAUUUCGUUUGUUCUUACGAAACCGGAAAAAGUAAAAGAGAGGCGUGUCUUGUCAACUCUCUAUUUUCAAUCUUCUGCACUUUGAAUCAAAUUCUUUAUGAUGGAUUCAACCUUUGUCAUCUUCGUGUUUGGCGGUGAUGUUUUGAGGCAACUUUUUUCUUUUUCGUUUGCGACGGUGAACGGUAACAUCGUGUUCUUGAAAUUCAACCAAGAACAUUCGAUCUCCUUGAAUGUUGAUUAUUCAAACACUAGAGAUCUGAUUUUAAUUGGUGCCGGAAAAAAUAACAACAGAUUCACAAACUUUGGUAUUCGGAUUCAAGUUUCUUCGAUUUUAGGGUUUGAAUAAUCAACAUUCAUGAUUUUAGGGUUUGAAAUUCAUGGUUUUCUUGAUUGGACCUUCAAUUAUUCUGCAGUCCUUUCAAGUUUAGUUGUGCAGCUUUAUCACUCUCUCUUUCCAUUGACAAUCAAUUUUCCUACGGAUUUUUGAUUUAUCGAUUUCUUUAUUCUUCUGUUCAGCAAAAUUCGACCUCUAAAACCGUGUUUGGCCACGAACGUUUUGGGGUAGGUUUUUGUUUGCAACAGUUACAUUAUUUUUGAGUAUCCAAGAAUGUAUAAUCUUUAUAAUUCCUGAUUUUUCAUGUCUAAGAAGGCUGAUAAUUGAGAAGAAACGGUGUAUCUUUAGACAAGUCUUAUGUUUGGAAUACCCGGAUUUUAUUAACAAAUGGUUUCUUGACCCUAAAUAUGGCUUGGAAUACGAAUUUUUUAUCCAUAUAAAUAUGGCUUGACCCUAAGUUUAAUCACAAUAUCAAUUCUUGACCCAAAAUGUGGCUUACAACGAGUCUUUUUAUUCAAGAUAAUAUAUUUGGGUGACCCGGAUUUUAACAAUGAGACGAGUUUUUGACCCUAGCAAUAUGAACUAUUUGUUCAUAUGAAAUUGAGAUAAUGUGAUUGGAUGAUCCUAAAUUUAAUCACAAGAUGAAUUUUUGAUCCAAAAUGUGCUUCGAAUAUGAAUUUCUAUUCGAAUGAAAUUGAAAUGGUAUGUUUGGAUGAACCCAAAAUUUAAUUAUGAGAUGGGUUCUUGACCCAAAAUGUGGCUUGCAAUAUAAUGGGAUGGUAUGUUUGGAUGGUUCGAAAUUUAAUUAUGAGAUGGAUUCUUGACCCUAAAUGUGGCUUGAGAUAUGAAUUUUUUGUUCAUAUGAAAUUGAGAUAACACGAUUAGAUGACCCUAAAGUUAAUCACGAGAUGGAUUCUAGACUCAAAAUAUGGCCGGCAAUAUAUUUGGAUGACCCGAAAUUUAAUCCUAAGAUGGAUUCUUGACCUACCUUGCGGCUUGCAAUAUGAAUUUUUUAUUUAUGAUAGUAUGUUUGGAUGACUCAUACUUUAAUCACGAUGAUGGAUUCUUGACCCAAAAUGUGGCUUGUAAUAUCAAUUAUUUUUCCGUAUAAAAUUGGGAUAUGAUUGGAUGAUUCUAUAUUUAAUCACGAGAUGGAUUCUUGACCCGAAAAUAGUUUGCAAUAUGAAUUUUUCUUCAUAUGAAAAUGGGAAAAUUUAAUCACGAGAUGAUUUCUUGAUUCAAAAUGUGCCUCACAAUGUGAGUUUUUUGUUCAUAUGAAAUUGGGAUAAUAUGAUUGGAUGGUUGACUCUAAAUUUAAUAAUGAGCUGAACUUUUGACCAAAAAUGUGACUUGCAAUAUGAAUUUUUAAUUCAUAUUAAAUUGAAAUAGUAUGUUUGGAUGACUCAAAAUUUAAUUACGAGUUGGAUUAUUGACUCUAAACAUGGCUUGCAAUAUGAAUUUUUAUUCAAAUGAAAUUGAGAUAAUAUGAUAUGAUGACCCUAAAUUUAAUCAUGAGAUAAUUCUUGAGCCUAAAUGCGUUUUGUAAUAUAAAUUUAAUCAUGUGAUAAUACAAAACAAUAGGAAGUAUCAAGUGGUUUUAUUCAUGAAUAGUGUAAAUAGAGGAUGGAUAUCUCGAAGAAAGAUAUCAACAGAUUUCCCAUUGCAGCUGGUGCAUAUGGUAUACUUGAUAAUUAUUUGAGCUCUCAUUCAAUUGUUUAUACUUGUUUGAGUUCUCAUUUAGUUGUUAAUGAUUGUUUUAAUGUGUCUAUUGCCUUGGUUAAUUGAUUUUGGGGCUACUGACCCUUCAUGUAAUGACUUAAGAGCAUUCAAAAUCAUGUCAUGGAAUCAAAUUCCUUGUGGUGGGUGAGGUUACCAACAGAGUUGUCGAAUACUUUCCUAAUUUCAACCUCAAUUUGGUAUUCAUCCCUAAUACUAAUAAAGGCAAACAAUGCAGUGCCAAUUUUUUUGAUGAUCAUUGGGUGAUUUAGAUCCUCUCGCUAUAGAGGAUUGGUUCGGAUAGCCUCCAACAUAAUUGAUAUCGUUAGGGUUAUGGAAUAGGUGAUAUUUUUCCUAUUGCAAAAAAUGCAACUUGAAGUGAUAGUAGUUCUUUUAAUGUUUCAAUGUCUGCCCUUUGGCAUUAUAGGUUUGGACAUGCCUCUUCUACAAAGUUAGAUAUGCUUCACAAGUACUUUCUUAUUAUUGUUGUUAAUAAAUAUUUGGUUUGUAGAUUGACAUUUUUUAUUGAGUGGUAAUAAAGACAUUAGUUAUUUUUAUUUUGUCCAUUCAGAUGAUGGGAGGCCUUAUUCCUUAUUUCUUACUUUCAAUUCAUGCUAAUAAGUACUUUUUGGUAAUGGUUGAUGACAAUACUAGAUACACUUGGAUUAUAUUAUUUAAAAACAGAUUUGAGGUAAUCGGAAAAGUGGCAGACUUUAUUACUAUGGUAGAAAAUCAGUUUGCAAGAAGGAUUUAACUGUUUAGAAGUAGUGAUAAUCCCAUUGCGUUUCAGCUAGAUGAUUUGCAUAUGUAGAAGCAAAUGCAUUGUUCAUCAUUUUGUUUGUGUCGAAACACCUGACUAGAUUACUAGGGUGGAAAGAAAACAUUAAGCACAUUUUAGGAGUGGCUCAAACUCUAAUGCAACAGUCAUUCUUAACAAAAUACUUGUGGACUUGUGAGGUUUCACAUGUAUAUCUCAUUAACAAUAUGACAUUGAUGAUGCUGAAUAAAAGUAAUCCCUUCAAACUCUUACAAUGUUCAUUACUAGAUGUUGAUAGCCUAUUAGCCUUAGAAUUUGUUGCUUUCCUUUGCUAUGUUUCCAACAAUUAUGCAUAGUGAAAUGUGUAUCUUCUUAGGUUUCAAGAUGAAUAAUGAAAUGGGUUGUGUCUAUGAUGUCAUUAGGAAAUAGGUUCUAAAUUCUAAUUUCAAGACAUAUUGUGUUCCUUGAGCGUAUUUUCCCGUACAAAGGUCCUCAAUCUAUUACCAACCUCAAUGUGCUCACUCUUGAAAUCCAAACCCUGGUGCCACAAACAUAAUCAAUUCACUCCUCAAUCCAAACCAGUGAUUUCUUCUACACUUGUCUGGCCAUAUUAUUAUUGACAGAUUCUCUUGCACCAGAUUCCUUAGCAGACUUCCCAAUCUUUAACCCUACUAUUUCAAUAAAUCCUACUGAACGAGUGGUUGCUACCACAUCUUCACUCUCAGCUCUCCUAAUCUAUGCAGAUGGAAUUGUUGUAGUUGGUCACACCUUGAUAGAAACAGUUAAUGAAUUUUCAAAUAUGACAGGUAAGCCGGUCGAAAACGUGCAUGUGACUGUUGAAAAUAUAGAAGCAAGUAAAGGGCGCCCAUAUUAGCAAUAGAUGUGCCUCUAGGUAAUAAUUUUACCAUAUUAUCGAUAGACAAGUCCAUCGAUAAACUUGUUUGUUUCCUAUUUCAUAUGUACAUAUAUAUCUCUAAAAAAAUAGAGGUGUCGAGGUCAUCAGUAAUAUCUUAUUGAUAAGACCAUAUUUUCUUGUAUAAUAUUUUAAUUAGUUAAUCCCAACAUAAUUAGUUACUUCAGCUUCCUGUAUAUAUGACUCUUCUUGUAUAAGACACAUUCAUUCAUUAUGUUGAAGUCAUAUUAUGAUAUUCAAUUUCUUCUUUUCUGGCAUGAAUUAUGUGAUCCUAUGAGCGAGAACAAAAAACACAAAUCUAAUUUCAAGCUUGAAAAUUGCUUAUUGCAAGAGGAUAAAAUCGAAGGAAUUAAUUUGAAAUUAAACUGAAAUUAGUUAGCGCAGAUUGUCAACUUGCUUUGAUUAAUAGUAUAUGUUUAUACAUGUGUGACUUAGGUUUGGAGACUUUGUGGCAUUUCUCAUUUACACGAUCACAACUUUCACCCUCUACGUUCUCGGUUAGAGUUCCGUUGAUCAUAUUAAUGGCGACAAACCAAGGAUAUAAAGAAGCGAUAAUAUGAGCUCUUAUAGGAUUUUCUCAAAUCCUAUGUUUGAACAUAGAGAAAGGGAGGAGAAGAGUAAUAUUGGUGUUGCAAGAAGAAAGUUUGUUAUUGAGAGGAGAAUGAUGAGGAUAGUUCCAAGGGGUAAAAAGAAGUACAGUUGGAGUGUGACCAUGUGGGAUCUUCUAAGCAAAAACUCUUCAAUCUUUUUGAAGAAAAACUUCAUGAAGGAUCAGUUUGGUCAAGAGUUAGAAAGAAUCAAUACAUCAAAAAAAUGGAAAAUCGCAGCUAUCCCAAUUAACAAGCAACUCUAUAGCAUCAGCUAUGUUUCUUUCACAGCUAAAGCUGCUAGAAUUGCCUCUACGUAUUGCUGAGUCAAGUCCUUCAGGAAAGCGUGCAAUGGAAACAGGAGAUAUAUAGACCAUCUCUCUUCCAUUCCAGAAAACAGAUUCAUGCUCGUUUUGAUCAAUUCAUCAGAACUUGUGGAAGGGUAUAGGUUGACCAGUCUCCUUGCUGGUCGUUCAAGUCUCUGGUUUUGGGCUACUGCUAAGUUAUGGAGCUUUUUUGCCACAGCUUAUUUUCAACAUCAUCUAUUUGUCGGAGAGCAUCUUUAUCGAUCUAAGGAUAGUGAUAAUAGGACCCCAAAACGACCCUAGACGUUGUUUGUAGUACUCACUGCAACAACCUUUAACUGAAGAUGAAUUCAAGAUAGGUCUUCUAUAUUCCAAAAACGGACUCGUGAUUCUACUUCUUGUUUCUUCCCAAGUUGAUCAUGAUCCUCUAUGAGAGCUUCUGGUAAUUUUUAUCUUUAUCCACUUAACUUUAUCUUCAUUUUUGUUAAGUAGAGUGAGAAAACUCUCGCUGCUUUCAGUUAGUUUGGUAAUGAGUUUUUGGACAAAAUUAUUCAAGGGGUUAACUUAGCAUACAACAUAGUUAGGAAAAAGGGAUGCAGUUAUCAGAAUGUGUGCAAUUAUCAUAUGCUAUCCAAUAUUUACCAUGUAACCAGACAUCUAAACUUGGUUUUUUUCCAUAUGAUCACUACUGCAAAAUAAAAAUCUGAUGAGAUGACAUUUUACCUAACUGAACAGUUUCAACCCCAGACAUCUCAUGUUAAUUUUGUUUCUCAUUUGUGCCAGCUCCAAUACUGUUCUAUCUAUAUCAAACUUCAUUUCCUUUAUAGUUGAAUCAUUAUCAUUUUCAUUUUUAAAUUUACCAUUCUGAUCGAUCUCUUCACUGUACAUAUUAUUGUUUGACCUGGCUGGUGAAUCAUUAGACUUUCUAUUGUGAUACUGCGUGUAGUUUUGCCUCAACAAGUGAAGCUGUUGUUCCAUUCAAUGAAAUGGCUACAUGCUUUAGGUCUGAAAAGUUUAACUGAGCACAUUCUCCUUAGUAGAUAUGCUCUUAUGUCUAGUUUCUUAUUUAGCUGUCCAUUUUUUUCUUCUCUUGAUGAAGUUGGUGUGCUGUGUGUCCACUUUUGGUUCUUGAUUUUGUGUAAAAUCAUAGCUUCUAGUAUUAGGAAAUGUUGCUACCUAUAACAUUUCUUCAAUAGUUUCACAACUUUUGGUCCUUUUUUAUUCUCAUUGUUGAAGUUUUCAUGUCCAGUUGAUGUGUGGUGUUAUUCUAGAGGCAGAGUUGCUUAUAUGUUUGUUUUAUAUUUGAGGUCUACCUUUGAACUCAAAUUUAUUGGUUCCUUUAGUUAUGUAUUUAUUGGGUCUCCCAACAUUAUGCUUUUGAUGAAUGAAUUAUGCAUGUCUCCUUUAGAUUUGGAUGUGUAUAUAUUAAGGCAGUUAGUGCUCGUGGUCUACCAUAUGAGACAUGUGAACAAGUAAUGUUUCCAAUGGUUGUGCUACUAUGAUUGCUAGUCUUACAAUUUCUACUUUAAUUCUCAUGUGAUGUGUGUGGUGUUUAAAAUUAGGAUAUAAAUAAACCAGAAUUUUUUGUAUUUAAAUUUGUUGUGUCAUGAGAGGAGUACGAGGAUCAUCAUAUUGGACAAGAUCAAUCACACAAGUGGUUUGAAUAUCAUAUUUUUAUCUAAAACCUUAAGGCAUUAGGUAUGAAGGCCCUUUCACUUAUAUGAUAUUCAACAAUCACUUUUCCAUCCGAUAUGUGACUCUUACACUUAAUUUACCAACUAAAUUAAGUGUAGUUCCAGUUUGCUAUUUAAAAUUGUGAUUCUUGCCUUUAUUUUUAAAAUUAGGAUGUCUUGUUGUAAAACACAUGUUUUUUUAUGAAGACAAAGACAAAGGAAGUUGCAAGCUCAAAAAGAAGUCAAAUAAUCGAAGUCAACUAUAGUCACACAUAUUAGAAGAUAUAUAAUGUAAAGCCGAUAAAGAAGAAACAAAAAUUAAAGCCUCAUGGACAAAUGAUGACAAGAGGAAAGUGAUGUUUGAUAAGAAGGCCAAGAACAUGUUACAAUCAUCACUUGGAAUUGAUGAAUUCUUUCGUGUGUCACAUUAUAAAACGACUAAAGAAAUUUGGGAUACACUUGAAGUAACUCAUGAAGGAACUAUUGAGGUAAAACGUUCUAAACUUAAUACAUUAUCUCAAGAAUAUGAACUAUUUUAAUGCAGUCCGGAGAAUCUAUUCUGGACUUACAGAAAAGAUUUUCUCAUAUGACCAACCACUUGUUGGCACUUAGUGUUGGACUUUAGUCCUCUUAAUCCUAGUUUUGACAUAAUUAACAAACAUAC